rnacentral:tRNA from 1 species
UGUGGCUCAGCAGUAGAGUUCCUGCCUAGCAAGCAUGAAGCUCUGGGUUCAAAUCCCAGUACCACAA